rnacentral:rRNA from 1 species
UUGGAGGGCAAGUCUGGUGCCAGCAGCCGCGGUAAUUCCAGCUCCAAUAGCGUAUAUUAAAGUUGUUGCAGUUAAAAAGCUCGUAGUUGAAUUUCGGGAUUUGUCAGUUGGUCGGGCUUCACUGUCCGUAUUGACUUGAUGGAUUCUUACCUUCUGAAUAACCAGCAUGCUAUUAAUUUAGUGCGUUGGGGAAGCAGAUCUAUUACCUUGAAAAAAUUAGAGUGCUUAAAGCGAGCUAGUGCUUGAAUAGAUUAGCAUGGAAUAAUAAAAUAGGACGGCAUGGUUCUAUUUUGUUGGUUUCUAGAAUCACCGUAAUGAUUAAUAGGGAUAGUUGGGGGCAUUAGUAUUCAAUUGUCAGAGGUGAAAUUCUUGGAUUUAUUGAAGACUAACUUCUGCGAAAGCAUUUGCCAAGGAUGUUUUCAUUAAUCAAGAACGAAAGUUAGGGGAUCGAAGACGAUCAGAUACCGUCGUAGUCUUAACCAUAAACUAUGCCGACUAGGAAUCGGACGAUGUUAAUUUUUUAAUGACUCAUUCGGCGCCUUACGGGAAAC